rnacentral:lncRNA from 1 species
GCUUGUAGAAAUUCUAAAGCUGCAACUUGAACCUUUUGUCAUGGCACCUAACAUGUCGAUGGUUUUUUAUGCAGUUGUUUGCCUUCUCGAAUUUCAUUGAAAUAUUCGAAACCAUCAAAGCUCGAAGAUAGUAAUUGCAAAUAUGGUAUCACCAUUAGCCACACACUUUUUGUCCACCUUGCUUUUAUUUUAUUGUCGUGCUAAAAUCAUUUGGAC